GUAGGUGGCAAGCGUUGUCCGGAAUUAUUGGGCGUAAAGCGCGCGCAGGCGGUCUUUAAGUCUGAUGUGAAAGCCCACGGGCUCAACCGUGGAGGGUCAUUGGAAACUGGAGAACUUGAGUACAGAAGAGGAAAGCGGAAUUCCACGUGUAGCGGUGAAAUGCGUAGAGAUGUGGAGGAACACCAGUGGCGAAGGCGGCUUUCUGGUCUGUAACUGACGCUGAGGCGCGAAAGCGUAGGGAGCAAACAGGAUUAGAUACCCUGGUAGUCCACGCCGUAAACGAUGAGUGCUAAGUGUUAGGGGGUUUCCGCCCCUUAGUGCUGCAGCUAACGCAUUAAGCACUCCGCCUGGGGAGUACGGCCGCAAGGCUG
rnacentral:rRNA from 1 species